rnacentral:lncRNA from 1 species
AUGUGCAUGAUUUGCUCUGCUUGCUAUCCCUCCACCAUCCCCGCCCUCAGCACUGUGCAUCCCAGCCCUUCUCUCAGCUGGCAAGCACAGGCCCCAGAUGCCAGACUGUGGAAGAUAUUUAUCUGCUACAUCUGGUUCCUUAGCAGAUUCGACAGGCCUCUGUGCUGGCAGCUUCAGAAAUGCCUUUGGGCUUGUCACAUGCUGAAAACUCCCUACUGGCUGUCGGAAUUGGCAACUGUGCUUUGGCUCAAUGAAAAGAUGGGAGAAACACUCUUUUGUCCACCUACUGAUAACCUCUCAUGUGUGGGAGAUACACCGAAAAAGAGCUCAAGAAACUCAACAACAACAAAACAAUCUAGGUAAGAAAUGGGCAAAAGACUUGAACAGACAUUUAUCAAAAGAGGAAAUUAAAAUGGCCAACAGCACAUGAUAACAUGCUCAGCAUCUCUAGCAAUCAAGGAAAUACAAAUCAAAACCACAAUGAGGUUUUACCUUGCCCCAGUUAGAAUGGCUUUCACAAAGAAUUCAACAAACAAUAAAUACUGGCAAGGAUAUGGUCA